AUCAUAGUUAAGUCCCUUUUCUAACUCUGUAAUUGUACAGAUUUUUGUUUUGCUUCCGCACCCGUAUUUUGUUGCCUUCAUCAUAGUGAAGUCUGUUUGAACCCCAAAAAUUGGAAUGUUGAUGUUCCUUGUAUCAUAGAGUCAUAGACACAUUCUAAUCUGGAAUAUCUCAUGUUCUCAUAGACCGAUCAGAAGCUACGUGUUUGUGCCAUCUGUGGAGCAUUUUGAGCAUCUAUGACAGUGACCGUCGUUUAGCUAAUCACUUUGGAGGAAAGCUUCACUUGGGCUAUAUGCAAGUCCGUGAAAAGUUAGCUUAGCUUCAAAGGUCAUUAACAUGCAACCAAGCUUAAGUAUCUCCAGACCUUGAGGGACCGUAAACAGACAUAUGGUGGCUUGGUUUGACCUUUUUGCACUCUAUUUAAGAGCUUUGGGGAUCUUUUGAAUCGAGAAUGGUACUGUGAGUUCUUUCAUCUGUGUCAUCGGUUUGUCCAAUCAUCUCUGGUUCAUGCUCGUUCGCCUAUUUGUGGGAAAAAAAAUCUGAAUAUGAAAUGUGGCUGCCCUUGUCAUAGACUAUGCCUUGCUAUUUUUUUUUUUGUUGGGAGGGA